AUUGAACGCUGGCGGCAUGCUUUACACAUGCAAGUCGAACGGUAACAGGCCUUCGGGUGCUGACGAGUGGCGAACGGGUGAGUAAUGCAUCGGAACGUGCCCAAUCGUGGGGGAUAACGUAGCGAAAGUUACGCUAAUACCGCAUAAGCCCUGAGGGGGAAAGUGGGGGACCGCAAGGCCUCACGCGAAUGGAGCGGCCGAUGUCAGAUUAGCUAGUUGGUGGGGUAAAGGCCCACCAAGGCGACGAUCUGUAGCGGGUCUGAGAGGAUGAUCCGCCACACUGGGACUGAGACACGGCCCAGACUCCUACGGGAGGCAGCAGUGGGGAAUUUUGGACAAUGGGCGCAAGCCUGAUCCAGCCAUGCCGCGUGCGGGACGAA
rnacentral:rRNA from 1 species